rnacentral:rRNA from 1 species
GACGAACGCUGGCGGCGCGCCUAACACAUGCAAGUCGAACGAGCGAGAGAGAGCUUGCUUUCUCGAGCGAGUGGCGAACGGGUGAGUAACGCGUGAGGAACCUGCCUCAAAGAGGGGGACAACAGUUGGAAACGACUGCUAAUACCGCAUAAGCCCACGGCUCGGCAUCGAGCAGGGGGAAAAGGAGCAAUCCGCUUUGAGAUGGCCUCGCGUCCGAUUAGCUAGUUGGUGAGGUAACGGCCCACCAAGGCGACGAUCGGUAGCCGGACUGAGAGGUUGAACGGCCACAUUGGGACUGAGACACGGCCCAGACUCCUACGGGAGGCAGCAGUGGGGAAUAUUGCACAAUGGGGGAAACCCUGAUGCAGCGACGCCGCGUGGAGGAAGAAGGUCUUCGGAUUGUAAACUCCUGUUGUUGGGGAAGAUAAUGACGAUACCCAACAAGGAAGUGACGGCUAACUACGUG